GUGGGGAAUAUUGCACAAUGGGCGAAAGCCUGAUGCAGCAACGCCGCGUGAGGGACGACGGCCUUCGGGUUGUAAACCUCUUUUAGUAGGGAAGAAGCGAAAGUGACGGUACCUGCAGAAAAAGCACCGGCUAACUACGUGCCAGCAGCCGCGGUAAUACGUAGGGUGCAAGCGUUAUCCGGAAUUAUUGGGCGUAAAGAGCUCGUAGGCGGUCUGUCGCGUCUGCUGUGAAAACUGGAGGCUCAACCUCCAGCCUGCAGUGGGUACGGUCAGACUAGAGUGCGGUAGGGGAGAUUGGAAUUCCUGGUGUAGCGGUGGAAUGCGCAGAUAUCAGGAGGAACACCGAUGGCGAAGGCAGAUCUCUGGGCCGUAACUGACGCUGAGGAGCGAAAGCGUGGGGAGCGAACAGGAUUAGAAACCCCAGUAGUCC
rnacentral:rRNA from 1 species